rnacentral:rRNA from 1 species
GACGAACGCUGGCGGCGUGCUUAACACAUGCAAGUCGAACGGAAAGGCCCUGCUUUUGUGGGGUGCUCGAGUGGCGAACGGGUGAGUAACACGUGAGUAACCUGCCCUUGACUUUGGGAUAACUUCAGGAGACUGGGGCUAAUACCGGAUAGGAGAUCCUGCUGCAUGGUGGGGGUUGGAAAGGUUCGGCGGUUGGGGAUGGACUCGCGGCUUCUCAGCUUGUUGGUGGGGUAGUGGCUUACCAAGGCUUUGACGGGUAGCCGGCCUGAGAGGGGGACCGGCCACAUUGGGACUGAGAUACGGCCCAGACUCGUACGGGAGGCAGCAGGGGGGAAUAUUGCACAAUGGGCGGAAGCCUGAUGCAGCAACGCCGCGUGCGGGAUGACGGCCUUCGGGUUGUAAACCGCUUUCACCUGUGACGAAGCGUGAGUGACGGUAAUGGGUAAAGAAGCACCGGCUAACUACGUG